rnacentral:rRNA from 1 species
GUAUGGUGCAAGCGUUAUCCGGAUUUACUGGGUGUAAAGGGUGCGUAGGUGGUGAGACAAGUCUGAAGUGAAAAUCCGGGGCUUAACCCCGGAACUGCUUUGGAAACUGCCUGACUAGAAUACAGGAGAGGUAAGUGGAAUUCCUAGUGUAGCGGUGAAAUGCGUAGAUAUUAGGAGGAACACCAGUGGCGAAGGCGACUUACUGGACUGCUACUGACACUGAGGCACGAAAGCGUGGGGAGCAUACAGGAUUAGAUACCCUGGUAGUUCACGCCGUAAACGAUGAAUACUAGGUGUCGGGGCCCAAAGGGCUUCGGUGCCGCAGCCAACGCAAUAAGUAUUCCACCUGGGGAGUACGUUCGCAAGAAUG